rnacentral:sRNA from 1 species
AGUUGUUUGAAGUGCCGUAGACAGUAGGGGCGAUAAGCUUAAUAUUCCUACCGAGGACUUAGAAAUAGUUUUCUAAAGCUCUUACGGUCUGUAAGGGCUUUAAUUU